rnacentral:rRNA from 1 species
GACGAACGCUGGCGGCGUGCUUAACACAUGCAAGUCGAACGGUAAGGCCCUUCGGGGUACACGAGUGGCGAACGGGGGAGUAACACGUGGGUGAUCUGCCCUGCACUUCGGGAUAAGCCUGGGAAACUGGGUCUAAUACCGGAUAGGACUCCGGACUGCAUGGUCUGGGGUGGAAAGCUUUUGCGGUGUGGGAUGGGCCCGCGGCCUAUCAGCUUGUUGGUGGGGUGAUGGCCUACCAAGGCGACGACGGGUAGCCGGCCUGAGAGGGUGACCGGCCACACUGGGACUGAGAUACGGCCCAGACUCCUACGGGAGGCAGCAGUGGGGAAUAUUGCACAAUGGGCGCAAGCCUGAUGCAGCGACGCCGCGUGAGGGAUGACGGCCAUCGGGUUGUAAACCUCUUUCAGCAUCGACGAAGCGAAAGUGACGGUAGGUGCAGAAGAAGGACCGGCCAACUACGUGCCAGCAGCCGCGGUAA